CUCUCUCCCCACACCGCGUGUCGAGCCUCUGUCGGGCUCCUCGACGCCGAUAAAACCCCGCGUAGGUUUUUCCGAACCGGGUCGAAAUGCGCACGUUUGUGCGUAAAAACAAUGUGUUUUUUUUUUCCCUUUUGGUUCUUUUUUUUUUCCCCCUCCACGAACUGCGGAGAUCGGACUGCAUUUGCCCGUUUCUUAUCUCCCGCACACGGAGGAGGAGAGGACGGAGGCUGGUGUACACACAGGGUGCAGCCAGGUGCAAUGGGAGCGCCCUCUUAUGUUCAGCCUGACCACAGGGAUCAAGCAGCGCAUCAACUUCUCACAGCAGCCAAACGUCUGCACACCAGCUGCGAAAGUGCAACUCCCUUUACUCCUCACAUUAACCCGUGCGCGCGCACCCAAAGCUUAGCAAUAACCUGGUGCAAAUCACAAAAUAAUGCUUAAUGUUUGCGCAUUUCCAGAUGAUAAUAUGAUAGAUUUGGAGU